GAUGAACGCUGGCGGCGUGCUUAACACAUGCAAGUCGAACGAUGAAAGCGGGAGCUUGCUCCUGCUGGAUUAGUGGCGAACGGGUGAGUAACACGUGAGUAACCUGCCCUUGACUCUGGGAUAAGCGUUGGAAUCGACGUCUAAUACCGGAUACGACCUUCGGAGGCAUCUCCUGGGGUGGAAAGAAUUUCGGUCAAGGAUGGACUCGCGGCCUAUCAGCUAGUUGGUGAGGUAAUGGCUCACCAAGGCGACGACGGGUAGCCGGCCUGAGAGGGUGACCGGCCACACUGGGACUGAGACACGGCCCAGACUCCUACGGGAGGCAGCAGUGGGGAAUAUUGCACAAUGGGCGCAAGCCUGAUGCAGCAACGCCGCGUCGAGGGACGACGGCCUUCGGGUUGGUAAACC
rnacentral:rRNA from 1 species